AAUCCUAGGGGUGCCAAAAAAGGAUAGGGCAGACCAAAUGAAGGAUUUCCGUCCUAUUUCUUGUUGUAACAUUUUUUUUAUAAAGGUAUUACCGAGAUCCUUGCAAACAGGUCGAAGAAGGUGCUUCCCCUCAUAAUCACUUCAAAUCAGUCCGCAUUUGUUAAGGGCAGGAGGAUCGUGGACAAUAUUUUCUUGGCCCAUGAAUUGAUAAGAAGUUAUCGCAAGAUUUCUCUCUCCUCUAGGUUAUUUUCCGGGAAGGAGAGGAGUAAGGCAAGGCGAUCCGCUCUCUCCAUAUCUCUUCGUGAUUGGCAUGGAAGUACUCACUCAGCUGCUAAAUGAGUCGGCAAGUGGAGGUUCUAUCGGGUUUCAUCCAAGAUGCAAACCCAUUGGUCUUACAAAUUUGUGCUUUGCAGACGACUUAUUUAUCUUCACAAAUGAGCGUUCCUAUGGAAAGGAACAGAUCAAAUCCAACAAGGAGGCUUAAAGGUGAAGUGGGAAAAAGUCUAUCUUCCCAAGGGUGAAGGUGGCUUAAGCAUUCGACAUCUCAGUAGAACGAAGUCUAUGUUUUAAGAACUAUUUGGACUCUACUACUUAACUCGGGUUUUCUUUGGAUUGCUUGGUUGCACAAGUUCCUCGUUAAAGGCAGGAGUUUCUAGGUACUUCAUGCCCCUGGUGAUUGCUCAUGGUGGUGAAACAAGAUAUUGCAGCUGCGACCUUUAAUAAAAUCGUUUAUCAGUUAUAGUGUGGAUUCAGGUGAGAGUAUUUUCUUUUAACAUGACCCAUAACUAUUGGAUAUCCCUCUCUCAAAUUAUUGUUCUAGGGGAUUAUUAUGCUUCCCAACUAUUGGAAAAAAAAAAAAAAAAAAACUCAAAGGUAAAUUAUAUUCUAAAGUCUGGUGGAUGGGAGUGGUCUCGGACAUCCAACGUCCAAGCCGAGAAAUUGAAGUUACUAAUGUCCGCUCUUCAAUUGCAGCAGCAAGAUAGUAUUGUUUGGAUUGGAUCUAGAUCUGGACAGUUUACUUCUGCCUUAGCUUGGGAGCAGCUCCGAAUGAAAAAAGUAAAGGUUCAAUGGAGUACAGCAAUAUGAUUUUCGUGGAACAUUCCAAGGGCUUUUUUUAUUUGUUGGCUCGCUUUGAAAGAUAGGCUUGCUACAAAAGAGAGACUACUAGGAUGCGGGUUUACAAUAGUGGCUCUAGAAUGCGAAUUCUGUAGUUUGGAACUUGAAUCUCGGGACCAUAUGUUCUUUAUCUGCCUAGUUACUCAAGCUCUUUGGAAAAGUAUUCUAAGCAAGUUCAGUGUUCACAAACAUGUUAAGAUUUGGGCAUCUAAAAUGGAGUGAGUUUGUCACUUUAAAGGUCGGGAUUCUAUUAUGUUGCGUUUUUGAUGGACUUGCUAUAUUUAUCAAAUAUGGCUGGAAAGGAAUGCUCAUGUUUUUCAACGAAAAUGCAGAGUGCUCAUGUUUUUCAACGAAAAUGCAGAGUUGUUUU